CUGCUUCCUGUCACCUUGCGUGUUCCUUGACCUGUUCUGCGAGUCACGAGGGAGACUUCGACGGACAACUCUUCUGUCGAGGUUCCACAGAGGAGAUAUUUCAUUCUCGAGCAAAUGGCAGAGGCCAGAUUAAAAAAAAAAACAAUUCUACAUGCAUCUUCAAAAUUCUGGAAGAUCCUACUGGAAAAAUCUAAUAAGCUACUGUGAAGGUCAGCCCCUCAGUCUGAGGAUUGGGAAUUCCUACUCAGGAGAACAGUCGUUGGCAGAUAGUGAAAAAAUAGACCGAACAGAAUGCAGCCAACUACAGUCAUAACUGAAAAGAACUCUAACAUCAAUCAAAAUUAAUCAAAUGAGUGUAUUUCUGCAAGACAAAGGCUAAGGUUAUAACAAAUAAUGGGGCCAGAAAUUAGAAGUCCUAAAUCUCAGAAAUUUAUAUCAAUUUUCAACAUGAAGCUUCUGGCCAGCGAUUCCCCUCAUCAAAAGGAUGGACAGAAAACGGGGCAAAAAUAAUUACGGAACAAUUUCCAGAGUCAAAUAGAGGGACAUCCAAGAUAAUUGUGUGGUCAGGGUCUCAAUCUCAAAGACAGGGUUUGGUGUUAAUAGUUUGGUGC